ACGCUGCUUUAUCUUUCACUAUCAUCUUUUAGUUGAUUCCCUGCGAGUCACAGAGAAGUCAGGAGAUAGCACAGCAAAGGAGAAUCUUAAAUCCACACCUGGUCAAACUUCUUCUGCUUCUUCUCCAGGUUGGAGACCAGCUGACGCUGGUUAUCUAAGUCCACCACAAGGUCAUCCAGCUCCUGCUGGAGUCUGUUCUUGGUUUUUUCCAGUUUGUCGUAAGAAGCAGCUUUUUCCUCAAACUGUUGUGUGAGACUUUCAAUUUCCCUCUGGAAUUUCUUUUUACCUUCUUCCAUAGUUUCUAUUGUAGCAGUAAAUUCUUGUAGCUUCUUCUUAGAAUCGGAGAGCUGAAAUUUGAAUUCAGAGAAGAAAUCGUUAUAUCAGUGACAACAAAGCUUGGCACAGAAGGGGAGUAGGAGAAAACCAAGACCACAGAACCUCUAAUUUGACCCAGGCAGACUACUUGCCUACUAUGCACAUACAGGCUAAGUGUGAAAAACUGCCUUGGGACCUCUUUAAAUAUAUCUUUAUGGUAAAGAUACUCUUCAGCAUAAAGAAGAAGAUAAAGAAGUCUUCUGUCUCCAUUGAUGCCAUCUGGGCUAACAACACAAGUUCCUGAAGAUCUAUAUAUUGUGCUAGGAUUCCUGUCUGAAGCCUCUGGAAUUACUGACACGACUUGGUGAUAGAGGUAAUGAUUUAGGUAUGGCACUGAUACCUGUAUUGUCAGUGUAGAAAUAUGUCUCUCCAGAUUUUGUUUGGCUUCUAGUUCUUCAUCCAACUGCUCCUGCAAGCUGUUCUUGUCAUCCUCUAACUGACGGAGCUUUGUAGUCACGUUCAACUUCUGCCGUGUUUCUUCCUGAAGCAGCUCCUACAUUAAUCACAUCAACCAGCAAGACAGUCAUUAGCUGAGGUCUUCUUACAGCAUUUCUUGAAAUUGUAGGUGAGCUGUUACUACAUACAAGUUUACCUGUGUGUCUUGUAGCUGAGAUCCUAAGGUUGCCACAUCUUUAGUUAAUUUGAUAUUCUUGCUUUCUGCUUCAUUGAGCAAACUGGUAACAUUUUCAACCUCAAUCUGUGAGAGACCAAAGUGAAAAAACACUCAGUUAUUUUGCGCAACUUUAACAACUUCCUCUGCUUAGUUUGCUCUAAAUCAAAGUCUCAAUGUUUGAAGGGGUUCUGAAUAUGCUGCUAUGCUUUUUGAGUCACCUUGAGCACUAAAAGUGUUUCUAGUUCAUAGGAGAAUCAUAAACUUUGUAGCAAUUCUUCUGGACAAUAUGUGGGGUUCUGUGGCAUUAAAUCCUACACAGAAAAUCUACAGUGUCUGCAUGUUGUGUCUGCACAUUGUGACAUAUGUAUUAAGACGCUGUUUUUGUCUGGAGUUUACCUUAGCAUUUUAUUACUAUAUAUCACAGCCUGUUUCUAUUCGUAAGACAAUACUAAUAUAUUGUAUAUACCACAGUAACAGACAGCAUUUCUAGGAAUUCAGUUGUGAAAAAUAGUAUUGUUCAGGUGAAUAGCAGAAAUGCUGAAAAUUCAUCUCCUGUUUUUCCUUCAACUUCCAGUGAAUUGCAAAAGGGCAUGAGGAUUUCCCUGUAUUUUCCUUUCUCUUUUCAGGUUUGAGAGAACCUGAUAUAUUUUGGAUAUAUUUUCUUAUUUAUCAAUUAACUUACAAUUAGUGAGAGAAGCUUACUGCUGCUAUGAACAAACUUGUAACUGUGGUUGAUCAGUAUUGCUGGGCAUUGCAAAUCUACCAAAGAGCUACUUAAAAAUAUUUUUAGUUGUUCUCUUUUUGGGAACUAAAUCACAAAUAAGUAAGCAUUCCACUUCUGUUUUCAUUUUUCUGGAUGCAUCUUAUGAGUUUAAUGCAGUUUAAUCAAUUUCCAAAAUCCUUAUUUUUAUUGACAUUCACCACCACACAGCAAUAAGCAAACAGGAUCUUUGUAAAAUAUGCAGCACUGUCACUGAAACAGUGGUGGCAUUACACAACACAGGGAAUCGUAAGACUAACAACUCUCACUUCCAUGAGUGGCUGUAAUUGUUUAAUGGUGUGAUAACUGAAAUAUGAGCCUUACAAUUGAACCCCACCCAAAAGAAAAAAGAAAGAGUGUCCCAACUGAAGUCAAUAAGGCAAGGAUUCCUCCAGAUGUACUUCCAAUGAACUUAGUCUAACUGGUCUACUCAAGUCCAAGGUGUCAUAGUAAAAGCUCAAACCCCCCUUUUACCUGCAGCUUGUGAACUUUUUCAUUGAGUUCUGUCCGAACACGCUCUCCAUCAGUGUAUUUAGACUGCAAAUCUUGCAGCUGUACUUCCAGCUUCUUCUUUUUGUGCUCUACGUCUUGUUUGGCCUGACUCAGGCUCCUGACUUCAUUAGCCAGAUCAGCAUUAUCUUUCUCGAGUGUCUGUUUGGUCUUAUCCAAGUUUGCUUUAGCCUACAAACAUGAAGAAAGAGUUUUUGUAAAAGGAAUUAGUGUUAUUUGUGGGUGGUUAUCAGUAGGAUGGAUUGCUAUUUACCCGUUUAAAUUGCUCCAGCUGCUCUGUUAGUUCUUCCACAGCUUGAGUGUGCUUUUGUCUCAUCUCCUGGACUUGGGCUUCAUGAGUUCGAGUCUCCUCCUCCAGAGCUCUCUUCAGCACAGUGACUUCUUGUUCACGCUUUGCUCUGCAAGAAGGCGUACAUAAAUGGAGAGGAGCACCUAAGACUGUUCCAGUCACUGGGAAAAUGGCACUCCAUCAUAGUUGUAAAGUCAGACUAAUUACAAGUUAUAUCACGUUGAGAGAUGAUGCAAAAAUGAACUUAAAGAAAUUCUAUGAGGUAGUUUUCACAGGAUAUAUGACAGACAAGAUCAGAAGAAGUUGUACUGAGAUCAGUUAACAGAAAUGGGUUUCCUGCAUGAAACAUCAGGGGAAAAGAGUUUCGACUGUUGAGUACAAGACUGAAUUAUUAAGGUGCCUAAGACAGACAAUUAGAUAGCUAGUUCCAGGAAAAAAAAAUAGCCUAGGUAACCUGAAUUAGAUUGUCUAUAUGUUGGAGACUAUCACUAUGAAAGUCUAGAAUUGUUCCAUCUGUGGGCAAAGUCUCCAUACCUGAGCUCUUGCUGGGUGGCUGUGGUAUCCAAAGUAUCUUCAAGCUCUGUCUUAAGAGCCUCCAGCUCUUCACCUAAGUCUCUCUUCUGUUUUUCUGCUUUGUUUCUUGCAGCUUUCUCAGAUUCCAAGUCUUCCUGGAGAUCAGAGAUGUGAGAUUCCAAUUCUCGGAUCUUCUUGAGGGCGUUGUUCUUCAGACUAGUUUCCUCUUCAAGCCUGGAAAAAAAGUGUUUAAUUUUCUGUAUUAAAAAAUAUCAUUUCAUUUUCAGGACAUCAGUGUAUAGAGAUUAAAGGUUUAUGUUCAAGGUGCGAUUUUAAUCUUAAUAAACUGGAAAUACUUAGUUGUACAUGGUUACUUCAGUAGGAAUCGUGGUUUAUGCUUUUUGCCUAUCAACUGUGUUGCUACUUUUUAUUCUUUACUUGGCAGUGUUAUCAAGGCCUUAGGGAAGAAGUGUUUUCAUUGCUGUCUGGGCAUAACGUUGUUUAUGAAAAAACAAUAGCGUAAGUAUCUUCAGCAGAAAGUCAGGCAGGACGUACUCAGUGUCUGGAAAGAGAUAUGUGUUUCAGCCUGGGAUUUUUAACUUGUAUGCAGAUUCAGGAGCAAAUACCUGGCUAGAGCAGCCUGCAGCUCUUCCUCCUUUUUGGCUAGCUGUGCCUUCAGCUCAGCAAUUUGUGCCUGGAGCUCUGCAAUUUGCUCAUGCAGAUCACUUGACUCUCCUUCUAACUUCCUCUUUGUUUUCUCCAGUUCUUGUCUGGUCUUCUCUUCCUUUUUCAGUCGCACUGAAAAAGUAAAGAUUUGGGUCAUGAGAGUGGGCUAGUGCAAGGAGCUUUCAUCUGAUCUUGAACUUGGAUGCAAAAAUGUUCUGGUCUUCAGUGAGGCUAUAUAUUUAAGUGCAAGUUACUGUCUUUCUGAAGCAACAUGCAAAACUUUGCUAUCAUCACUUAUUUCCAGCCACUAAAAAUAUAUAUAUUUAUAUUUCUCCAGAAACACUUUUUUCCCCCAAAUUCCACUCCUCUACUAUUUAUAUGUAUAAAGAAAAGCUAUCUAUGGUUUAUGCAUCUUGGGGUUUCAGAGAUUGUCAUUCACAAAAUGGUUUCAGCAUAUGAAAGUGGAUAACACAUAGUUUUUAGAAGUUUGCUCCAGAUUCUCUGUAGGGUUUUAUUGUUGUUUAUUUUUUAUAUGUACCAAAGCAAAUAUCUGACAUAAAGCAUCAUUGUUCAUAUUACCUUCCAGUUCUGAAAUCAUAGAUUCAUGUUUGUUCUUUAGCUUUGUAAGAUUUUUGGCUUUUUCUUCCUCUUCAGCAAGAUUUGUUGUUAGGUCACUUACUCUUUCCUCAAGGAGUUUUCUUUCCUGAAGAAGAGUAAAAUAGUUUUGUUAACAGAAGUGUCUGUCAUCGGUUAUCAUGAAGCAUCUCUAUACCAAAUAAAAAAUGUCCAGUGUACUGUCUUUGGAUACUGUGAGAUUGUAGCAGUACAUUUCAAUUUGUUGAGUACAGAGGGGCUGGAAAGCAGUAUUGAAAUUUCCCAUGUUCGUUAAUCAGCUGUUAUUUAGAAUCUUACACCCACUUUGGCUGGUAAGUGAAGAGCAUAUUCAGAGGAGUGUCCCCUUCAAGAAGUACUUGAAUACAUGUUUACUUCCAAUUUUAAUCAUGAAAUCUUAGCUUUUCAACCAAACAUGUUCCAAUGACUGUGCUUGACUAUUGUGGGGAUUUUCUUUAAGAUACUGUCACCACAGAGGAUCUCAAUACUAGUAUUUUUCACAAUUCUGAAUUAUUCAAGAAAGCAUGGAAACUUACUUAUCAGAAACUUACUCAGUACAGGCUGGCCUGCUGGUCUGGUAAAUGUUGACACAUGAAACUCAAUAAUCAGAAGUAUACCAUUUCCUCAUCUAACUAAAGAGAUUUUCUCUCAUCCUGGACUAUUUUCGCAAAGUAAGAAAAUGGGCCCACGAUGCUUACCUUUGUUAGCUUGUUAUUCUGAUCUUCCAUGAUAAGAAUGUCAUCUUCCAUUUUCUUUAUCUUGCCAUCUGCUGUAACUUUUUCAAGUUGCAGUUUCUGUCUCGCAGCUUCUUCUUCUUCCAGCUGUUCCUCCAGGUCCUUUGAAGGGAAAAAGAAAUCAUGAAUUCUGGAAAUAAAAUUUAAAUUACAAUUUAAAUUACAGGCAAUGCAUAAUGUUUGUCAGUCUAUGUGGGGUAUGUUACAGAGUUGGUUGUUUUUACUAAGAAGUAGACUAUCUGUAAUACUUUUUGACUUAGAAAGAUUUACUGAAAGAGUUUUUUUUACAGAAAAUAAUUUAAAAUUGGGGUAGGGGAAGAUGAUAUAUAAAGAAUUCUGGAUGAAAGAGCAUAAAUCUGUUUGUUACUACUUCAGUGGCAUUAAACACAUUCUACUAAGGGCUGCAUAGCAGGGUCCUUCAUUGGCAAACCUCAUGUCCUAUUUCCUGCUGUUCUCUGUGAUACAAGUUACUGUGUCUGUUUGUUGCUUAUGCUUCCUUACCAGCAUUUGUUGUUGCAUCUUUUUCUUCUCUGCCUGCAACUGUUGGCUGCGUUCCUCCUCUUCCUCAAUUCUGGCCUCCAUCUCAUGCAGAAUCUCUUCCAGCUCUUGCUUUUUUGCAGCUAAACGGACUCUCAUCUCUUCAGCUUCAGCAUACAGUUCAGUUUCUGCCUGAAGUUUCUCCUGAAGGAGGUUCUUCUCUUCACAAAGCUAUGGAGAUAAAAUGUAUAGGCAGUUAAAAUUUAGAUUGCAAGUUGUCCCCAUAGUGUCUUUCUACUAGUCGUAAUAUAUGUAUAGGUAUCUGCACCACAAGUCUUUGUGCAGAUACCAGGCUUCUGCGGAAGUUAUUGGGAGUUUGCACUGAACUUUUGUUCUGGACCAUUGCUAUGAAUACAAUGGUAAGUACAAAGAAAACAGACCUCUUUAUCCUAAUAGCUUCUGGAAACUGUAAGAGAGUGGCUAAUAUUUCGGAGAGGCUUAGAUCUGUCAGUCACCUGGGUGUGUUUCUGCUCCAGUUCCUUCAGUUCAGCCUCUGCUUUCUGUUGUCUUUCCUUAGUUCUUUGUAAUUCUUCAUCCUUGGCCUGCAUUUCUUCCUCUUGGCGGGUGACCUGUAGCAGUGGUUUCACCUGAAAACAAAAAGAAAAUUAAGAAUCAUACCAGCAACUUAUUUUACUGAAUAUAGCACUUAAUGGUGUCAGGAUGACUGGUGCUGGUGGUAGCACUACCUGCUGCCGUUCAGGUAGUGGGCAAAUAACGUCUAACCACACUUGGUGUAAACAUCUUUAAACCAGCAAGCCCUGGCAGCAUUCAUAACCAUUUCUGCAUUCAUUCUUGAAGUCUCGUGAGCACCUCUAGUUCCAGUAGUAUCACUUGCUGAAAGACUAGAAGGCUGGUUUUGUGCACAGAGAAUGCACAGAGGCUAUAACUGCUGCAUAGAAAGCCAUUCUUGGGAAAAACAACCAAGCCUCUCCACUCACUGGGAAAACACUUAAAUUGUUUGAGUGGCUAGAAGGAAGUUAGGGAGCUCUUGAGUCCAUAUUACCACACGUUUCACAACAUUCUGGUUGUUGUUCUAAUUAUCAAUUUGUGUGAAAUUAUUUCAUUUUGGGGAACUAAAAUAGUCAUACUAAAUUUUACGUAGAUCUCUGCUUAAUUAGUUUUUCAUCCCAAGAUAAAACUAACUUUAAAGUUAAGUGUUAUAAGAAUAUCCAGAGUGUCUUUUAAUCCAAAGUUCUGUGAAGCUAAUGAAGCUCUUGCUGUCAUCUGUGAUGAGCUGAGCAGGGAGGGUGCCUGACAUGACUUGUUAUCUUGUGCAGUCCAUUACUUUUGUAAAGCUGAGAUUCACAGACAGCAGUUACUCACUUUGGUGAACAGUCUCCACCAUUGCCAGUUCCUCAGCUUCAGGUAAGCAGCACAGUUUCUUUGGAUAACCUUCAUUGCAGUCAGCUGUUGCUGUCUCUUGGCAAAGGCCCUGUGAUAAGAAGCACAAAGCAAAUUUGUUUAGUCUGAGAAUACAGAUUGUAAGACAAACAUAUUAAGCAAAGAAGCCAUGGCAUGAGACUCUGCUGAUUUGAGAAAUCUGCACAAGUUCUUUUGUCACUUAAACAGUACCUCUGCUUUCUCAAGAAAAAGUGUUUAGAUCUGUUUAGAUUUCCAGUAUUUUAUUUAGUCUUUGGGGUUUUUUUUGGUUUGUUUGUUUCUUUUUGUGCUCAGUAAAUAUGCAUACUUUUUGGUUUGUGCCAAUAGUUCUGGAUAUGAAGUAUAUGGGCAUUGAGAGCACACACUGGUUAUCUCUGUUGAAACCUAUUAUGUUUAAAUUUAUUUGAUCAUCAAUUUUGAAAGCCUUGGUAUUGUGCAGAAAAAGGCUAUUGCUGUUAAUAGUUUGGUGAUAUGUAUUAACUGAGAGUGUGCCAAGUGACUCCAGUGCUUCAUGCUCUAACUGCAUAAGAAAUGAUGUUUUGUUUUACAAAUGCCAGUGGUACUGCUAUUUGUAUUGCAACAGUGCAAAAGGUAUUUGUAGGCUAUAAUGCACCUUGUCCUACUAGUAGAAAUGUGUUCAAAUGAUGGGUUGUUGCCUAGAAUGCUUCCUGUAUGGAGAGUUUAAGUAGCCUCACAAUGUAAUUGCUUCUCUGUAACUAUACUAGUAAGCUACUUCUGGGCAAGAAAUGAGUUCUUUUAGGUAAACACUGAAACACAAGUUGAAUUGUAAAGCAAUACUAGCAAAACUAGCUAAUAAUAAAACGUCUGAAUAUCUUCAGUUUGUUAUGCAGAGAACUAAAGCUACUGUAGAUAACCCACUGCCAAAUAUAUAUUUUUUGUUAGUACAUAUUCUUACUUUCUGGCCAGGUAGCCUCGGCACUGAGCCUGGAAGGCAAUAAUGACGUCUGUGAUCUUCAGGUCUCUCUCUUCUUCCAGGUGUGCCAGAACACCAGUUCUGAAGAAGAUUUUACUCUGUCCAAUUCUGUACAAGUUGGGAUCAAGUUCCAGUGCUUUGAUCUGGAGGGAAACAGGGAUAUUUGUUAAUUCCAGUGCUGAAGUUUAGAAUAUUAAAAAUUAUCAUUCUUUUCAUUCCCAACAGUUUUUAUGUAAGAGAUGUAGAUCUGAUUAUCAAUAGGAUCAAAGUUGUUUUCCUUACCAUCAGUAUGCAAGCCUGCUUCCCAUCCAUGAAUCCUUUAGGAAUAGCAUUCGCAGCAAGAAUUUCGUAUCUGCCAGAAGACACAAAUGUUAGAGAGGUGGAAAAAUGUCAGAUUAUUUUGUACAGGCAAACAGUAUACAAGCCCUUUUAAACCCUACGUAAGGACUGAGCAAGGGAUUCCUACCGCUGACGGAAUUCCUGGAAGACAAUCCUGUUGGGGAACCCUUGCCGGCAGAUGCGAAUACCUUCCAAGACACCAUUGCAGCGCAACUGCUCCAGCACUAAAUGGGCAUCAAGUUUGCCAGCCUGAAAAGGAAACAAAAAGUAUCUUUAGCACAGUAGAAAUUUGCAAAGAUGUUGCUAGCACAUAUCUACGUUUGAAGACAUCUUUCAGUUCUGCAGUGUGCACUAAUAGUGCACCAAGAGUCUGACAUUUGAUAUUUACCCUUUUUUCAUGAUUUGGAAUGAUGCAGCGGACAAAGUUGGGAUUGGUAUUCCUUAAGGUGGUCAUCAGUUUAGUCAGCUGCUCCUUAUAGAGUUGGCCCACAGUACGGAACAUGCCUUUUUUGGUUUUGGAAGAGCUAGGCAGUGAACUUUCAGUCAUCUUGGCCAUCUGGUCUAGACCAACAAUACGAUCCACUGCAAUAUAAAAAAGAACAUGUGAGUGGGAAUGCUUGUAUCAAUUGUCUUCACCUCGCAUUACACUUUUCACUGCCAUUGCUAAAGUGCACCUUCCAGAAGAGGACCAAAAUACUUUUGAUGCAAUUGAAGCAUGCUAAUGAAAGCAUUAGAAGAUAUUUCUGGGUAAAUAGCCUACUUCACUCAAAAAUAAGGGUUUUUGUUAACUAGUGGAAGAAUGGAACAAUUGAAUGCACAGCACGUAUUUUAUGGCUGCUUUACAAGGACAGUCCUGCAAAGUAUCCCUACUAGUAGGUUGUGUCACAAUGUGUGACAACCAUUAAAUAUGUAUCAUGUAGUAUGCAUCUUAAAGAUCCAUGGAAAAUUUUUAAACAAAUGCAGUGUUUUCUAUACAUACAGAUAUUCUUCUGGUUGAGUUUAUUUGAGAUAAAACUUUGCUGAAGAGAAUUGUAGUAGAAUUUUUGGGAGAGGAACAUGUAAGUUAAGGACUGCACACAGUCUUUCAUAACAGCACUGACAGUGUAUUAAGUGAGCUGUCUGAUAUCUUCCAUAACAUUAUAGUAGCAUAAUGAAUAUUUUUUAUUGCGUUAAGUAAGGAAAUUAUUUUGAUAGUACUUAGCUAUCUAAUAUGCUUUUCAUAACUAUUUAGAAAAGAGUACUCUUGUCUCUUAGAUCAAUCUCUUCCACUCUUAUCAUUUUCACGCUUGUUGCCCACUCCUAAGGGAGAGCUGGCAGAACAGUUCUAGUCCAAGUUUCUCCCUUUAAACCACAUUAAUGGUUUAGAGUUGUGAUUCAUACCGUCUUUCCAAAGGUCUGCCACAAAUUUGUCUGAAGACUGGUUCAGCAGAGAAGUCACAUUGUCAUUUAGUGGAUCCAUGUUCUUUGUCAGCCAGGCACUUGCAUUGUAGGUAACCUACAGAAAACAAUGCUGGGUCAAAAAUCUGUUUGGCCAGAAAUAUGGCAGAGCCAAGAACACAGGGCACUGUUCUAACAUUAUCUAAAAACUAGUAAGAUUUGAAAAGUUUUCUAUAGUUGAGAGCUGAGUUGAAUACUUGUUCUUGCAUGUACUCCCAUCUAAAGAGAUUUUUUUUGCAGACAUACACGACAGACUGGCAGAGGAACCACUAUGCCUUUAAAAAUCUGUUUGCUAGAGAGGAAUCCAAGUUACUUGGAUAUUCAAAACCGCAGUGCUGGUUAUUUUUGUUUUCAUGUGAGCUUAGCACAGCCAUGAAUGUUGUGCGAAUCUUAUUCCCCAUCUUUUGUAAUUGAAGCCCUUAAUAUAUACGUUAUAUAACUAAAGCCAUCCCUAUCAAUAGGAGAACAAGAUUGAUUCAUUGUUGGUCAAACAGUAAAAAAGAAACAAAGUUCUGUAAGUCAGUGUGGCUCAGUCUCUCUCAUACCUUUCCUGCAUAGUGCAGUAUGCAGAACUCAGUUUUAUCCUUGAGUUGUUUGGACUUCUGGAAUUUGGGAUGGUUGCCUUGUUCUUGAAUUAGUUUCUCCACAAAGGAAGUGUCAGUAGCUUUGGGGAACCAGCACUCCUCAUCCAGCAGAGCUAGGACACCUGGGGGGUUGGUCUGCAACAUGAGUAAUACCAAAUCAGCGUAAUGAAAGCCGGAGACAAAGAAAGAACACCACCUUCUUUUUGCUUUGUUGCUCAUUGUCCCAGGCAACAACAAUCUGAAAUAUCUUAAAUGCUUUUCAUAUCGAUACAUAAUGGACCCUGAUGAAACCUACAUAGUAUCCCAUCUAUACAAAUACAGACUUACCGGUCUUUCAAUUAGCUCAAUGCAAGGUUGCAGGUCAAGGCCAAAGUCAAUGAAAUUCCAUUCAAUGCCCUCACGUUGAUAUUCCUCUUGCUCCAAUAUAAACAUUGUGUGGUUGAAAAGCUGCUGAAGUUUCUCAUUAGUGUAAUUGAUGCACAGCUGCUCAAAGGAAUUGAUCUGUGAAGAGGACAAAAGAAUUGUAUUUCUGAUGUUAGAAAGACACCUAAAAGAGGCAGUGUAAAUGUCAAGAUAAAAAUUUCUAUAUUCUAUUUUUUUUAAAGAUUACUGUAAUUCAAAGGAUCCAUAUUUUUGUUUUUUAAGGCAAGUUUACAGUAAGAUCACAUGUAGUAAAUCUCAAAAGUGGGACCUGUCCAAUAAACCAUAAAGACCAGACCUUGGUUCUAAACACAGAGUCCCCCAGAAGCCCAGCAGUGAUGCUGCCAGUUCCCAGCCCUUCCAAAUAAAAUAGUCCUGUGGGUUCUCUUGGCCAUGUAGUGCUGUCCAGCUUGAGAGAAUCAAAUUGUUUAUGUGGUUCUGAAUUUAGAUAUUUGUUAUCUUGCAUUCCGAACUACAGCCUGACGACAACAAGGAGUUUAACCAAUUUGUGUCCCACAGCACAUACCUCAAAAAUCUCAAAUCCAGCAAUAUCAAGGAUCCCCAAGAAAGAAGCUCCUUGUCGUUUAGUUUUAUCAAGAGCUUUGUUUACACGAGUUAGAAUCCAACGGAAAAGACGUUCAAAUUUUGCUUUGGCCAAAGCCUCUAUGGCAAAGUCAGCCUGAAAGAAAGAAAAUUCUAAGUAAAAGAACAAAUCAAAUUAAUUGCUAGUUUAAGUAAGGAUAAUGCAAAGAGAGAAAGAAAACAGAUUCCCUUUAGAUGUGAUGUAAGAACGAAAAGAAGAAAGGGAAAAUAACUCCAGGAGAGCAGAGCAGACUGCAAGUAGGUACCUGCUCUUUGGUCUGAGCUUUCUGAACAACAUCUCGUCCUACUUUGAUCCUUGGGGUUAGAAUAGAUCUUGUGAAAUCAGUCACAUUAAUCCCCAUCAGGUGACAAACUUUUUGAGCAGCUAGAAUAAAAAAGUGAUAUUAUAUUUUAUAUUUCAGAUUGAAUUUUCUCUUAGUGUGAAUACAAGCAAAUCAACAAUUAUGUAAUGUAGUUUGUCUUCCUUAAAAGCUCCUCUGUUGUACAUGCAAGAGAUGCCACUUGCUGUAAAAGUAUUAUUCGUGAUACAACCAAGGAAUUCACUGAUGAUCAAUUUACGGAUUCAAGAUUACUAAAAAAGGAGUAUUUGAGUAGCAUAAAAAGGGCUGGAAAUGACUUAGAACCUGGAGUUACAUCAAUGAAAACAGCAGACAGGUGAGAGCUUCAGCCACACCAAUAUCUCAGAGAACUGCAUCGACUAAGCUAAUAUUACAGUUCAGAGCAAAAUGAUGAACUUUAAUCACUAAGGUAAGAUUAUUACAGAUUUUGAAGAAAGUACUUUAUUUAAAAUCUGCCUUCCAACAUUUUCCUGUGUCAAAGGAGCAAAAAGAAGUAAUAGGAUAUAUUUUGGAACUCUUAGCUACCUUGCAAGAAAAUAUGCCCGCUAACAAAAGUGAUCAAUACUUUAGGAGUUUAAAAGUUGUUAUACAUUUUUUGUGUUUGUGUUGUAAUAUAAGGAUAAUAUUUUAAUUAAAAGCUUUUCCAAACUUCUUAUUUUCCAGGAGCCAAGGGUAGAAUAAGAACCCCAGCCCUUGCAGAACUUAAGUCUUUCAUGUUAUGAUAUAAAUAGGUGCUAUGCAUAUAGAAAGCUAUGAAUAUUUCUCUUCUAACAAAGUACAUUCUGAUUUGAUGCCUAAGAGGAUGUCAAACAAAAGAUUUUUUUUUCCAUAAACACAGAGCUGUGACCUAAUUGUGUACUCUUAAUAUGUCAACUAUUUGGCAAGCCACAAACGUUGAAUUGCUGUUAGCAAUAAGCUCAAUACAGUCCUAAUAGUCAAAAAGGAGAGUUGAAUACAGAAGAGCUCACUCACAGUGAUGCUGGUGUCCUUUUUGCCCUUAUGUGAUGAAGCAACAACGGCCAGGUACUGAAUGACCUUUUUGGUGUUCUCUGUCUUGCCAGCGCCAGAUUCACCUCUGAGGGGAAAGAAAAUAACACAAAAAAAGCUAGGUAACUGGUGAGCUCCUUCUGCCAUACAACGUACGUCAUGUAUAAAAACAAGACUGGAGUCUGCCUGGCUCUGUAAAUAUCCCAGAACACAGUCUCUCUGAUUCCACCUGACUUUAGCAUGCAAAGAACGCAGUAUCAGAGAUGUAUCUCUGUCCCAUUCGUGUUUUGACUGGACACUGGGCCAUUUAAGGCAAUUGUAAAACAUUUUUUAUGGCAGUGCCUGAACAUUCAUGAGAACUGAGGCUGGCAGGGAGUCUGCUCAUACUUAAAGAACAACAACAACAAAAAACAUUAACUAUAAUGUGGUACAAGAAUAAGAAAAGCUAUCAACAAAAAUACAGUAAUUUUCUCUAUGGAAAUUCUGGCAUUAAAGCAAGUUAUAUCAAUGCUGGAGUAUAAGGGAACUAUACUGCCUUACAUGACUUCUAAGUUCAAACUUUCCAUGAAUUCAAUGGGACCAGAGCUGGCACUGCUGGAGGCAUCCCUGCUAACAGGGUAGCAGGAACAUCUCAUAUGGGGACAUUUCUGACCAGCAGAACUGCCAUCCUGGCUGUGCUCUGUCUCUAGGGAAGCAGGAAUGCAGUGGUAACUUUCCACCUUCCAGAGGACUUCCAUGGUUAAAUUUAUUUACAUCUUCCAAAUCUUCUCAUAAAGUAAAAUGCUAGUUUUCAAAGUACAGGAACAAGGACCCAGAUUUACAGUCUUUACUCAGAAGUAAGAACAUUUCCAGCCUACUCUUCCCUCUUUGUCACAUUUUAUCAUCUCAGUUCUGCUAGAUAUCUUUGACUCUGAUGAUGAUACGGACUAGAAUGUUUUUAUAUUGUCCUGUAUCAGCAGUCAAAAAGGGCAUGAAAGUGGGUGUGGAUGUAGUAAUGUAGUAAUUUAGCUCCUCUGACUCUGUCAAGCUAGUGCUGUGAGGACAACAGUCUACAUGGAAGUCAAACCUCUGUGCCUUUGGAUUUAAAUUAAAAUGAAUUUAAAAAUUAAAAGAACAAUAUAUGUAAAAGUCCCACAGAUAUUUGUCAGCUCUUUUGAAACUGAGUCUGUUUAGCUGGAUCCACUGCAGUUGUGCUUCUUUUCCUAAUUAGGAAAUAGAGGAGUUAAUUUUUCCUACCAAGGGACUGGUGAAAAAUGGACAUAAAAAAAUAUGAGUAAAUGCUGGGAAGAACUUUUAAAUUGUGAUGACAUUGAUUAAACUAAGGAAGCCAGAAACAAUUUCUGUCUGAUGCACAUCAUGAUGAGGAACGUUUAGAGUUUUAACCAGAAAUAAUUGAGACGGUUCCUUUUCACAAGACCUGGGUUAAUUUGCACAGUUUAGAGUUUGGAUCCAUCCCUGCCCUGGACUUCAGUGCUAAAACAUUUCCAUGUUUUAUUGAUAAAAAUUAAGUGUUCUGGGAACAAUUCCAAGCCAAGCACACCAAUUUGAAGACAUAUGCGUACAAAGUUUUCAAAUAAAUCUACCUUGCAUCUCUGAUACUUUGGAAAAAAAUAAAAGCAUUCUUCAAACAAACUGUAGGCUUUGAGCUAUUCUAUUUUAUUAAAGGUUAUUUGUAGUUCAUCACUACAUGAAUUGCAUUUCCUUUCUCCCAGGGCAAUGGUGCCCAUCAUUUGGCUUUUCCCUGAAUGCCUGUGAGUAUUACCAUAUAAGGCAUCAUUUUCCUUGUAAUUAUCCUACCAUACUGUAAUGCUUUAGUUACUUAACAUUUUGUUCUGUGCUUGCUUUCCUUAACUCUUUGCUCCUGCACAGUUUUCUAUUUUCUGCAGCUAUUCUUCUUGAGCUUUUAAAUUCCUUUUGAAGUGGACAACAACAAAUUCUUCAACAUGAAAUGGAACUGUUUCAGCAUGAAAUGGAAAACAGACAUGAUCUCACAGCAAUAAGGAUGAAAAAAAAGCAACUCUUCUACUGGGACUGCAGAUCAAGCUCUUUGAAGAUUUAGAAAUGCCUUUUUUUCAAGACAUAUCCUUCUGUCUGUGAGGUAUCCUCAAGAUUGAGGAAAAACAAGAUACAUUUUUUUUACAACAGCAUAUCAACAAGAACACCGCGGCUGUGCAAUCCAAAUGUUCCCUGUAAGCAGGCAGCCCUAUGGCUUUCUUGGAGAAGUCUGUGAGGAAGCAGAAGGAAAAGACUCCGCUCUUGGUCACCGGACUUAUCCCUUCCUAAUGCCCCAAGCAGUUGGCAGCCUUAUAAAGUCCUGCAGUAAUAAGGGCUAUGUUGCUAAGUUGUGCAGUCUGACCUGCAAAACCUCCCACUGACAUGCUGGCCAAUGUGCAUUCAUGGAGGGAGAAUAUGCAGCACUGCUCCAUUUCCUUCAAAAGUUUCAACAUACUGCAAAGAGACAAUAGCAGAAGGCAGCAAAUUACCCACCCUCACUGGACUACUAUCACUGGCAUCUGGCAGUGCUGCAGAAGCCAUCCAUCCAUCCACCCACCUCUGGCUCUUCUGCCCUGCACCAUGGUGCCCUCUCGUGUGCUGCAUCAUGCCUUUGUGCAGCCACACUGCACACCAGGCUGCAGUUACCCACCCUAAAAUGAAGCUAGCAAAAUCAAGGAAUGAUUAUUAGCUGGGCCGUUUCUAUGUGAAGACUGCAUGAGGACGGUGCUGGGAGUAUUGGGAUGAGGAGGCUGAGCCCUUUGCGCAGCGACUGAGCAGUGCUAUUGCAACUGCAAUGAGAAGCCACUGCAUCCAUAACACAGGUAUAGAGGUCAGUAAAGAAAUAUAAGCGGACUUUUUUAUGAUCGUCUCCAAUUAUUUGAUUUCUGU